rnacentral:rRNA from 1 species
GACGUAGGGUGCGAGCGUUGUCCGGAAUUACUGGGCGUAAAGGGCGCGUAGGCGGCCUUCUAAGUCGAACGUGAAAUCCCCGGGCUCAACCCGGGAACUGCGUCCGAUACUGGAAGGCUUGAAUCCGGGAGAGGGAUGCGGAAUUCCAGGUGUAGCGGUGAAAUGCGUAGAUAUCUGGAGGAACACCGGUGGCGAAGGCGGCAUCCUGGACCGGCAUUGACGCUGAGGCGCGAAAGCCAGGGGAGCAAACAGG